rnacentral:rRNA from 1 species
UAGGGAAUCUUCCACAAUGGGCGGAAGCCUGAUGGAGCAACGCCGCGUGUGUGAUGAAGGGUUUCGGCUCGUAAACACUGUUGUAAGAGAAGAAUGACAUUGAGAGUAACUGUUCAAUGUGUGACGGUAUCUUACCAGAAAGGAACGGCUAAAUACGUACCAG